UACGUAGGAUCCAAGCGUUGUCCGGAUUUACUGGGUGUAAAGGGUGCGCAGGCGGACUUAUAAGUCAGAGGUGAAAUCUCGCUGCUCAACAGCGAAACUGCCUUUGAUACUGUAGGUCUUGAAUUAGGGAGAGAUUCGUGGAAUUCCGAGUGUAGCAGUGAAAUGUGUAGAUAUUCGGAAGAACACCAGAGGCGAAGGCAGCGAAUUGGCCCUAUAUUGACGCUCAGGCACGAAAGCAUGGGGAUCAAACAGG
rnacentral:rRNA from 1 species